AGAUUGUUUACCGUGAAAAAAUUAGAGUGUUCAAAGCAGGCAGAUCCAAUUUUCUGCCACCGAAUACAUUAGCAUGGGAUAAUGGAAUAGGACCCUGUCCUCCUAUUUUCAGUUGGUUUUGGCAGCGCGAGGACUAGGGUAAUGAUUAAUAGGGAUAGUUGGGGGCAUUAAUAUUUAAUUGUCAGAGGUGAAAUUCUUGGAUUUAUGAAAGAUUAACUUCUGCGAAAGCAUCUGCCAAGUGAUGUUUUCAUUAAUCAAGAACGAAAGUUAGGGGAUCGAAGACGAUCAGAUACCGUCGUAGUCUUAACCAUAAACGAUGCCGACCAGCGAUUAGGAGACGUUGAAUACAAAACACCACCAUCGGUUGCGGUCGUCCUUGGCGUCUCGGUUUCGGCCGGGGCGCGGGGAUGGCUUAGCCCUGAGGCCCCU
rnacentral:rRNA from 1 species